rfam:Mouse H19 gene
GAGUCACCGAUCACUGCUCCGUCGCCGCCCGCAAGCCUCCUUGGCCACGGACUCUGGAGGCCAGUGCCU